rnacentral:rRNA from 1 species
AAAGAAACCAACAGGGAUUGCCCUAGUAACGGCGAGUGAAGCGGCAACAGCUCAAAUUUGAAAUCUGGCCUCGGCCCGAGUUGUAAUUUGCAGAGGAAGCUUUAGGCGCGGCACCUUCUGAGUCCCCUGGAACGGGGCGCCAUAGAGGGUGAGAGCCCCGUAUAGUUGGAUGCCUAGCCUGUGUAAAGCUCCUUCGACGAGUCGAGUAGUUUGGGAAUGCUGCUCAAAAUGGGAGGUAAAUUUCUUCUAAAGCUAAAUACCGGCCAGAGACCGAUAGCGCACAAGUAGAGUGAUCGAAAGAUGAAAAGCACUUUGAAAAGAGGGUUAAAUAGCACGUGAAAUUGUUGAAAGGGAAGCGCUUGUGACCAGACUUGCGCCGGGCUGAUCAUCCGGUGUUCUCACCGGUGCACUCUGCCCGGCUCAGGCCAGCAUCGGUUCUCGCGGGGGGAUAAAGGCCCAGGGAACGUAGCUCCUCCGGGAGUGUUAUAGCCCUGGGUGUAAUGCCCUCGCGGGGACCGAGGUUCGCGCAUCUGCAAGGAUGCUGGCGUA